GAUGAACGCUGGCGGCGUGCCUAAUACAUGCAAGUCGAGCGAACAGACGAGGAGCUUGCUCCACUGACGUUAGCGGCGGACGGGUGAGUAACACGUGGAUAACCUACCUAUAAGACUGGGAUAACUUCGGGAAACCGGAGCUAAUACCGGAUAAUAUAUUGAACCGCAUGGUUCAAUAGUGAAAGACGGUUAUGCUGUCACUGAUAGAUGGAUCCGCGCCGUAUUAGCUAGUUGGUAAGGUAACGGCUUACCAAGGCAACGAUGCGUAGCCGACCUGAGAGGGGGAUCGGCAACACGGGACUGGAGACAGGGUCCAGACGCGUCCGGGAGGCGGGGGUGGGGAAUCUUCCGCAAGGGGCGAAGGCCGGACGUGGCAAGGCCGGGUGGGGGAGGAGGGUCUUCGGAUCGUAAAACUCUGUUAUUAGGGAAGAACAAAUGUGUAAGUAACUAUGCACGUCUUGACGGUACCUAAUCAGAAAGCCACGGCUAACUACGUG
rnacentral:rRNA from 1 species